AAUAGAUACCCAGGUAGUCCACGCCGUAAACGGUGGGCACUAGGUGUGGGCGACAUUCCACGUCGUCCGUGCCGCAGCUAACGCAUUAAGUGUCCCGCCUGGGGAGUACGGCCGCAAGGCUAAAACUCAAAGGAAUUGACGGGUCCCCGCACAAGCGGCGGAGCAUGCGGCUUAAUUCGAUGCAACCCGAAGAACCUUACCUGGGUUUGACAUCAUGGGAAAAGCCGUGGAAACACGGUGUCCGAAAGGGCCCAUGACAGGUGGUGCAUGGCUGUCGUCAGCUCGUGUCGUGAGAUGUUGGGUUAAGUCCCGCAACGAGCGCAACCCUUGUCCUAUGUUGCCAGCGGUUCGGCCGGGGACUCAUAGGAGACUGCCGGGGAUAACUCGGAGGAAGGUGAGGACGAUGUCAAGUCAUCAUGCCCCUUAUAUCCAGGGCUGCACGCAUGCUACAAUGGUCGGUACAACGGGCAGCGAUCCUGCGAAGGUGAGCGAAUCCCACAAAGCCGGCCUCAGUUCGGA
rnacentral:rRNA from 1 species